AUACGGAGGGUGCAAGCGUUACUCGGAAUCACUGGGCGUAAAGCGCGCGCAGGCGGCUUGAUAAGUUGGAUGUGAAAGCCUACGGCUCAACCGUAGAACUGCAUCCAAAACUGUCAGGCUAGAGUGUGAGAGAGGAAGAUGGAAUUAGUUGUGUAGGGGUAAAAUCCGUAGAGAUAACUAGGAAUACCAAAAGCGAAGGCAAUCUUCUGGAACACUACUGACGCUGAGGCGCGAAGGCGUGGGGAGCAAACAGUAUUAGAAACCCGAGUAGUCC
rnacentral:rRNA from 1 species